CAUGCCCUUAGGCAAAGAAUCCCAGGUUGGGAUAUAGAGUGCAUCCUCUGUUCUGCGAGAGGAGGUACGGAGUGGCAUGGAGAGAGAUCAGUGGGCAAGUCACGAGUUGUGACAGGUAAGGGUACCAAGUCUAUCUUGGCCAAGUGGGAGUGAUCAGUAUGACAUGUGCUCCUUCUCUUUUUAUUUUUAAUAGGACUUUUGACAGCAAGGGAAACAAAGGAAAGGCACAGAGAAGGUUCCUGUCCCAGGGAAGGAGAGCAUCACCCAGGUAGUGUUACCCUAUCCCUACUCUGGAGCAGUAACACGGACAUUUUCUUGUUCAGGUGAAUGGCAAACAGGUCUGUGGUCGGUGUCCCCCACCGCCUGAAUAGGUCUUAGAGUACUGCUGGAUUUAUCUCUCAUCCGUGGUCGUGUGAGAACAUGCAACUGAGACUGUCCGCUAUCGAGUUUUGUGUUCCCUGAAGGUAAGCCUCUGAUAAUGUAAUGUCAUGGAAGAUGCACCAAUUCCAUACUCUUACUGCUUCUGCCCACAGGGAGGGAGGACUCCUGUGUGCGAUACCUUGAUCAGCAGGAGGAAACGGGCGCAGGCAUUCCUGACCACCCUGAGCUCAAGGAGGUUGAUGUGGAGGGAUAUCUCCAUGGAUGACCAUUUGCCUUGUAUUGUGAGGUCAUUUAGAUGUGCACCCCAUUCUAUGAUAGAAGCAUUGAUGGUGAAGAACGACAGGGGAUGGGGAUGAGGUUUGUGAAAAGGGGAUCUCUUGGCAAACAUUUUUGCAGGCCCAGUUCCAUGAACAAGUCUAUUGUGGAUUCGGUGACUUGGUGAGCCUCUUGGAAGGACCGGGCUCUGAGGAGACAAUUGUCCAGGUGUCUUGCAACUGUCACUUCUACUGGGCAGACAGUAGGCUUUCACUGUAUCCCAGUACAAGUCAGUGAAUUGAGUCAGAAGCUCAACUGUACUAUUUCCAACUGUCUAAAUUGCCUGGUACAGAUAGACAAUUAAGAAAACAUUUUCUUGACUUUUUCUACAGAGCAAUACAUCUAACUGAGGCAGAAGACACAGAGAGAGGCUUGAAAGUAUAAGAGGUGGAUGGAGUGCUGGUGGAUUGCUUCUUUAGAACACUGUCUAGUGUUCGUACAUAGCUAGUGCUCUUGGUUGGAAGCUGAUAAACCACAGG